rnacentral:lncRNA from 1 species
ACACAUCUCUACUCCCACUCACUUCCUGUAGCCUCCCCCUCGCCUCUGACUUUCUUUAAAUGCAAUGUUUUAGGUCAUUCUUCUUGUCCAGCUUCUCUGUUAAAUUAAAAACACCCUAGUGCUUGUACAUUUAGCUGAAUCAAGCCAGACGCUGUAUUUUAUUUUUAUAACUGAAUUCCUGUGAGAUAAAAAUCUCAUUUUCCUUAGUAGGCUGUAAUCAGCACUCACAGGGAUGUGGUUUCCAACUGCCCCAGCUCGUGCUUCCUUAUGAAGCUCCGCUGAGAAAUGAACUUGGCUCCUGUUCAGGUUUAAAGGGCCCGAGGCCGGUCACACAUUGCUCACUCAUACACACACACACACACACACACACACACACACACACACAGAGGAUGUGCACACAAAGACCAUUAUACAUGUAUGCACACACACAUGGACACACGUUCUUGUCCAGGGAAGCCCCUACGGUUCCACACACGAAGAGCAAAAAAGUAUUCCCUGAGACAGACAGACACACAAUCAGUACCCAGUGUCAUUCUUCCCCUUUCCAGGAGGAAAAUAGGUGAAUAAGUCAAGCUGAAAGCUGCUUCCGAAAAGACUGUUUUAAACUAGCAGGCAGGCCAGCGUUAUGCAACUCAUGGCUAGGUUCAUUAAAGGAAUCGAGGUUUGCCGACUGCACAAAUGUUCCCCUGCCUGCCUCCGCCCCAGCCCCUCCACCCCACCCUGCUCUGAUUCAUGAACUAGUUUUCAGAUUCAUGAAUCACUCGGGAGCCAGCAAGAGAAAAAUGAGUAGUAUUGAUCUCAUUUCAAUUGAAAUGGGCUCAUUAAGGCCAUGCUGGCUGUGGACGGCCUUGCACGACAAGACGCUGGCCGGCGUCCGAGGUCUGCAGGCGGGCGCCCGAGCCUGCGGGUGGGACAGGACUCCUUGGGUGAAGCCUCCGCGGAGGGUGCCCCUUCUUAUUAUUAUUAAAUGGACACAAUAUGAUCUACUGGUACAAGGGACUCUGGCUGCACUCCGCAGCCCUCGUUGGGCAGGCCGGUUUUCUUCUUUUUGUGUGGCCCGUUUAUUUUGUUAUUUUUUUUCACAGUUAAUGGAAUCUCAGUGCAGUUUCGCUCCUGGAUUUCUGGUGACUCUUAAGGACUACCUGAAGUAGGAAUUCACCUUCUGAAACAACUGGCAUAUCUUGGGGUUUGUUUGUUUUAACGCAAACAAGGAGCUUUUUACUCUUCUCCCUCCAGACCUCUGCCUUGCCACCCUCCUUGUACCGUCUUCAGCGAGAAGGACUAGGGGCUAGGAACCAUCUAGACUUGGAGUAAUCUAAUUUAUGUGGGGAAAAUUUCUCCACCAACUGGAUGGCUGCCUUCACGUGGACACCGGUUUUAUAAAACCACUCUUUCCCUUCCCAAAUGAGAAUAAUGGUUGAGGAAGCAGCAACAGAGCCUGGGUGCAGAGACAUCACAGAGGGAGGCGUUAGGCCCCUGGGGCAGAUGUCGCAGAGGCCGCCCACGAAGGAGCUCUCUUCUCUCCCACUGCCUUUCCUCUCCCCACUUGAGUUCCAGCUCCCUCUUGACACGAGCUCCCCUCCCCUUUCCAGCCCUUCGCCUUACACUUGUCCUCAUGUCUGGGGAAUCUUUUCCUCUUCCUCUCUACAACACCGGUUGGGCACCGUGUGUGAGCAGAUCAGGAGAGGCUAUUAGCUUUGAUUUGCAGCUUCCAAAUGGAUUUUUGCAUGGUUUCUUCCUCCAGCUCCUUCCACCCCCACGCCAGCCCUGGGAGAUUAAAAACAAUGGACUGGACACAUGCUUUUCAGAAAACCCAAAAAGCUGUCAACCAACACCACAGAAGGAUUCCAUCCUAAGAGGCAUACUUUUGGAUCCAAGAGUUUAGAAAUGAGAUUCUUAUCCAUUGACUUCAGAGACACCGUCAUGCAUUAGACGCAUUUCCCUUGGCAGGGAUUCGACGAAGUGACCUUACUCCCCUUUGUUCCUGCAGUGCCCGGAGAAACUGGGAAUGACCCAAAGAAGGAAAAGGAAGAACGCUACAUCCUCUGCCUGAAGUGACGGUCUCAGCCAGCCCAUGAGCCUUGACAGCGCAUUGUUGGAGUUUGGAAUCAACUGCCGCCUUUUCAUGGAUAACUUCCUGAAUCUGCAGUUAAAAUUUCAUUUUUUUCUGGGUGCCCCGAGUAAAACACCCUCUGUUAAAGAUUUAUCACUUCCGCUGUAUUUCAGCUGCCUGUGGGCAUCCCUCAAUGCCCCAGUGCUGAACAGACUGUCACACCGAAGGUGCUCACGGGCCUGCCGGACGAUUGAAGUUGUACAACCUGCAGACAGAGGAGCUAAGUGUCCACACGGCCCUCCCUGCUCUUUCCAUUCUAUGUAGCUAUCUUGCUGGCACCAUUUACUCCUUUCUUUCUUUCUUUUUUUUUCUUUUCUUGAGACAGAGUCUCUAGCUGUCGCCAGGCUGGAGUGCAAUAAUGGCAUGAUCUCGGCUCACUGCAACCUCUGCCUCCCGGGUUCAAGUGAUUCUCCUGCCUCAGCCUCCCGAGUAGCUGGGAUUACAGGCAUGCGCUACCACGCCCAGCUAGUUUUUCUAUUUUUAGUAGAAACAGGGUUUCACUAUGUUCACCCGGAUGGUCUCGAUCUGUUGACCUCGUGACCCGCCUGCCUCAGCCUUCCAAAGUGCUGGGAUUACAGACGUGAGCCAUGGUGCCCAGCCACUCCUUUCUUACUCCUUUUUAGUCCAGUGAAAUCUAGCUAGCUUCUCCCUUACCCGUAAUUGUUUCAUUGUAACUUAUUCUUGCUGAGAUUACUAGAGCUAUAUUUAGACCUCCUAAAUAGUAUCAUCCACUGCCUACAGUCCUUUGGACUGUAUUCAGUUCGUGUGACCCCUCCCUCGCAUGGAAACUCUCUCUUGCCUUAGUUUUUAUGGCAUGACAGCCUUAUGCUUGCCUUCCUGUCGCAGAGCUCGUGUAUCCAGCAAUUAUCGGUGCUCCCAAGGUUCCUUGUUCUUCCCCCUUCAGAGGUCUGUGCUCCUCAACAACUCUGACCCAGCCGUGGUUCCAACAACCAUGCCAAUGUGAAGGACCCUAGAUUUCCAUCUCCAGCAAGGACCUCUUUCCAGAGUGUUGGAUGGGUAUUCCCAUUAACCUACUAGACAGCUGCAUGUGGAUCUCUCAGAGCCCCUUUAAACUCAGAUCAUCUUCCCACCAAAAUCUGUCCUCCCCUCAACUCAGGACAAAGACCUCACUGUAGGAGAACAAAGGAAGUGGAAAUCUAACAGGUGGCAGUUCACCUACAAAACCUUAGUGUCAUGCAAGAGGGCUGUCCUGUGCGGUCAUUCUCAGUAUUGAGCCAAUGUAAUGAAGAAGCGUGUAGUGUGUGGUGGGCAUUUUCCAUUAUGUUUUGGUGGCCCCACAUGGCUGGACUUCCCAGGAGCUUCCCAGAGCUCCUGCUUUGGUUAAUGGUGAGCAUUUAGGCCAGACGGCCUUGCAAAUAUCUUUCCUACAUGGGACACACUGUUGCAGCCUUGCUCUAAGGCAUAGCCUGCCUUUUUUUUUUUUUUUGGUAUGAUAAAAGAAAUAUAGAAUAUUAAUAUAUUCUCCCUGGCUUUCAAAGAUUCCCAGUGCAUUUUUCUAAUACAGCAGCUAUUUACAUUAUAUUUUCUUCUUGAUUCAUCAUUUUUGAAUGAGGCCUUGUGGGUUUGAGGGCUGGUGAGAAAUAGUGCCGGGGAGAGGGUGAGGAAGAUUGCUUUAGAUGAGAGGCACGACUGUAAAUCUUGAAGUAAAAUUAUCUUUGUGAACUAAACGGUACCUGAAUUUUAUUCAAAUGAAAAGCUGGGCAAUUGAGUGUGAUUUAAAAUGAUCACUGUUCUAUACUUCAAAUGCACUGAAACAGGUUUAUUUUGCAAUAACCUGGAGAACAUAUGCAAAUUGAAGUUAUAUUGUUUAAUCUGAAGAAGUGAAGGCUGACUGAAUAAUCGGACUGCAAGGAUAUGAAGUAUUAUGUUGAGGAUAUAUACCACGAUUUACCAUUAAAUAGUACACAAAAUUAAAAUGGACUUAAAAUGCUCAGGAAAUAUGUAUUGUUAGAUAAUAGAAAAGUUAAAAUUUCUAAAAAUAGCUAAUGCUUCAUGGAUUUUUAAAGUUUUGUUUUGUUUUGUUUUUUUGUUUUUGAGAUAGGGAGAAGAUACUAGGGGAAAAAAGCAGAUGGAAAACUUCCUUGUGGUUUUUCUGUAGUAGCUUAGAGUCUGUUCUAAGGAGCAGAGAUUUCAGAGUAUGGUCUUGGAAACCUUUGUGUUCUUUGUUUCUUGUAGACGCCACACGCCUCUGUCCCCUGGCCACAGAGGCUGAUUUUGCUGUAUCUGACAUGGGUUUCUUGACCUGCUGGGAAGGCCCAAUGUCUAAUUUCCUGGUCUGCACCCUGCAGAAACCAGUGGAAAUUAAGCAGCGAUCGAUUAUCCUACCCCAUCACACCUUUCCUAGAUCAGAUGAUGCUGGCUGAGGCUUUGAAGUAUUGACAACACACUCUUUUUUCUUUUUACACCUUUUCUUCAGAGGACCUGACUCAUUCCCUGUAAAGGGAGGAAUCACUGCAGAGACACCCCCUGUAGCCACACUGCACCCUUGCAGGGGCUGGGGGACGAGAAGCAGGAUGUUGGUAGUGGUGUUGUUACCUCUCAUGACACGAAUCAGGCCCUUCCACCAUACACUUCAUUGAGGGGAUUCUGAAAUGGGGUCCUAAGGUUGCUCUGCUCUGAGAUGGAGCGUGGAGCACCGCCUCGCACUGUUGCUCUGGGGUUUGUCUUUUGCCUGGGUCUAGCUUAGCAAGGGCAAUGGCAAGAAGGGGUUUGGGAGUCAGGAGACUAUUAAUUCCAAGGGCCAAGGAUUGGCACAUCUUGGAAUAUUCCAGAAGUGUCCGCUCAGAUGGCAAAUAUGGGGACAACGUUACCGGCCCUCCUUCCAGCAAGGAGGCUAAUAUAGACCCACUCACUGCUACCAACCACCAACUCUUGACCCUUGGAAUGAAACAGUCUGUUAACUCCCAAACCCCUUCUUGCCAUUGCCCUUGCUAAGCUAGACCCAGGCAAACGACAGGCCCCAGAGCGACGCUGCAAGGCAGUGCUUCGCGCCACUUUCAUCAGGGAGGUGCCUGUGAGAUUCUGCCUCGUCCCCAUGACCUAGUUCAUGCCCUCGAUAUGCCGGUGAGAUGUGCAGGAGCUUCCUGAAGGGCCGCAUCAUCCAGCCUUUAUUUUUGUACCUCUGUAUGAGUUUUUCUCAACUCCUGCUGUCCAGUAGCCUCACUUAGGGAACCUGUAAAUAAUACCUAUGCUUGGGCCCCACCCAAGACCCAUUAAACUGGAUUAUCUGGGGAGGAAACCUGGCAGUGGUGCUUUUUAAAAAGCUCCCCAGAUGACUUUAGUGUGCAGCCUGGAUUGAGAAUUGCUGGAUCAAUUGCUGGGGGAAGAGAGAGUUCUGUGCCAGCAUAUGAGUGGGUUUUCAUAACACUAAGGAGCCUUACUGUGUGUAGGUGAUACCUACACUUCAACCAGGAGUUCUGACAGAUCAAGGACUAUUGCCCUACCAGCUGGGGAGUGACACGAGAGAGGCAUGGGCAAGGAACCAGUACAGGGAGCCCACUUACCUGGGAGAGCUGUACAAAGUUCACUGCAAAGGGUGAAACCUGAAUUGUUUGCAUUAUGCGUGGGUCUUUGGCAGAUAGAGAUGGGGAGACAGGACAUUUCCGCAGAAAGGACAAUGUGCAGGCGUGAUGCAGCAUGAUUUUUCAGGGGGACCAGAAGGUAAGUGUCAAAAAAGCAGACUCUGGGGCGUCCUUGUCCCUUUCCAGGAGCUGAGACCUGAGCUAGACACCACUGGGAUGUGUCUGGAAGGAAUGAACUGGUGGACACGGAAGCAUUGUCUUCUCAAGGGUGCAGGGUGUGCCUGGAGAUGAGGCUGGAGACAGCAGGAGCCCUGCCAUGGAUGGAAUUCUGCACCACGUUAAUUGGACUUUACCCAGUAAGCUAGAAGUUCUCACCUGGUUCAAGGAUGAGGACCUAUAUUUAAUAAGAAAAAACAAAAUUAUUUCAGACCGUCUUGUAGUAGUAGUAGUAGUUGUCAUGGUACUUUAAGAACCAUUGAAUCAGAAAAUGCAUAUAGACUAACAAAUGACUCAAAAUUUAAUGAUUUUUUAGUGGAUUUUUUUUUUUGUUUUUUGAGACGGAGUCUCACUCAGCUGCCCAGGCUGGAGUGCACUGGUGUGAUCUUGGCUCACUGUAACCUCCGUCCCUCCGGGUUCAAGCAAUUCUCCUGCCUCAGCCUCCCAAGUAGCUGGGAGUACAGGCACGUGCCACCACACCCAGCUGAUUUUUGUAUUUUUAGUAGAGACGGGGUUUCACCAUGUUGGCCUGGCUGGUCUCGAUCUCUUGACCUCGUGAUCCACCUGCCUCAGCCUCCCAAAGUGCUGGGAUUACAGGCAUGAGCCACCACGCCCAGUCUAGUGGAUUUUAAUUUUGAUCACAACAGCAAGGUAUAGGUACUGUAUCUGUUUACAACAUCAAAGGUUAAGAAAUGUUUACCUUUUCUUAUCUUUCUAACAUAAAUCAUGACUGUUUUGAGCUCCUGAUAGUAGAUUAGAGUCUUUCUUAGGCCAGGUGUGGUGGCUCACAUCUAUAAUCCCAGCACUUUGGGAUCAGGCCUAGGCAGGAGGACCGCUUAAGGCCGAGAGUUUGUGACCAGCCUGGGCAACAUAGUGCGAUACCACCUCUAAAGAAAUAAAAAAUUAGCCAGGUGUGGUAGUUCAUGUCUAUAGUCCUAGCUACUUGGGAGGCUGAGAUGGGAGAAGCCCUGUAGCCCAGGAGUUUGAGGCUGCAGUGAGCUAUGAUUGCACCACUGCACUCCAGCCUGGGAGACAGAGUGAGACUUCAUCUCAAAAAAAAAAAAAAAGGAAUAUUCAGUAACAUUUAUUGGUGGUGCUGUUCACUGUGCUUGACACUUUAUUGCCUUAGCAUUUCACUCUCACCACCACCUUAUGAAGU